UACGUAGGGUGCAAGCGUUGUCCGGAAUUAUUGGGCGUAAAGAGCUCGUAGGCGGUCUGUCGCGUCUGCUGUGAAAACUCAGGGCUUAACCCUGAGCUUGCAGUGGGUACGGGCAGACUAGAGUGCGGUAGGGGAGACUGGAAUUCCUGGUGUAGCGGUGAAAUGCGCAGAUAUCGGGAGGAACACCAAUGGCGAAGGCAGCUCGCUGGGACGUGACUGACGCUGAGGAGCGAAAGCGUGGGGAGCAAACAGG
rnacentral:rRNA from 1 species